AUUUUAAAAUGUGGAGUUUAAAGCUGCCUACAAUUUUUGUCAAUAACUUUUUUUUGUAAUUUUUACUAUAACAGAUCUACUGAGCUUCCUCACACUAAUCAAUCACCCUGUAUGAAGAUCAUUGUAAUGUCCUUGAUUUUAUAUUAAUGAACAACAACUAGUCUAAGGUUUUUAUUUCUGGGGACUUUAAUCUUCCGAAUGUUACGUGGACAAACGAUAAUUUAGGAGUUAGUUUAUUGAACUAUCCACCAAAUUCACCAGCUUUUCAUAUGGUUAAUUGCUAUAGUUUCUACAACCUUUUUCAAAAUAAUUUUGUGUCCAGUAGUAGAAAUGUAAUUUUAGACUUAAUCUUUUCUAAUUGUAACGAGUUGAGUGUUGUAAAUGCUGCUGAUUUAAUUUUUCCUAACUCCCUUAACCACAAUGGUGUAAUGUUAGAUGUUAAUAUAAUAAAUAACAGUUACUCCUUAAAGUACGCAGAGUCAUAUUAUGAUUUUAAAAACGGUGAUUACAUCGGUAUGAAAUUUUUCUUGUCGGAAAUAAAUUGGGAGUCACUAAAGGCUUUGAAUAUUGAGGACGCUGUGUAUAAAUUUUACGAUAUUAUCAAUCAUGCAAUAAAUUCUUAUGUUCCUCAAAAAGUAUGUAAGACAAGUACAUUUCCAGUUUGGUUUAGCCCUUAGUUAAAACGAUUAAUAAUAGAAAAAAAAAUAUCAUAAAAGGUAUAAGAUGUUCAACAAUUAUGAAGAUUUUAUUAUUUUUCAUAACUUACGAUCUGAAUGUAGUCGACUAAGUAAAGAUUGUUAUAAUUUAUAUGUUAGAGAUUCUGAAUUUAGAAUUAAUAGUGACUCUCGCACUUUUUUUUUGGAAAUAUAUAAACAGUCGCAAGAAAAAUUAUGAUGUACCUUGCCAUUUAUAUUUGGGAAGUGAUCUAAGUAGUUCUGGGGAGGAAGCUGUGCAUUUAUUCGCCAAAUUUUUUUCUACAGUGUUCACUGACCACAAUACUACCCCCAGGGCCGGCGAUAACGGGCCUGCAAGGGAUGCACUGCAGGCGGGCGCUCCUGAUUGGGGGGGCGCCAAAAUGAGCUUUUUUCUGCUGGUGCGAUACAAAAUAUUAGUUUAAAAGAGACUAAAGGGCGCCUAUGCUAGUUUUGCAGGCGGGCGCCUUAUACCCUAGCGCCGGUACUGACUACCCCCCACAAUAUAAAUUUGAAAAUGCUGGUAACAUGAGUUCAUGCUCUUUUAACAUUAAUACUAUUUUUGAGAGUACUUAUUCACAAUUUGUCUCCUAAACUAAAUUUUGGCCCUGAUGGCAUUCCUAUUCCUAACUAUCUAUUAAAACAAUGUGUUUGUACUAUAUCCAAAACAUUGUAUAUAGUCUUCAAUAAAUCUUUGCAAGAAGGGGUUUUCCCUGAUUGCUGGAAACAUAGUUACGUAAAGCCUAUAUUUAAAUGUGGUUCAAAGUAAAAUGUUGAAAACUACAGAGCAGUUUGCACUUUAUCAGCAAUUCCAAAAUUAUUAGAUUAUUUAGUUACUAAGCAGCUUAUACCCACUUGUGAAUUCAGUAGCGUUCUGGUGAAUGAACAGCAUGUUUUUUUACAGGGUAAAUCUACAGUAACUAAUUUACUUCUUUAUCAGAAUGACAUUGUUAUUGCUUUGGAAAACAAGUUACAAGUAGAUUCCAUAUAUACUGACUUUUCUAAAGCAUUCCGUAAGGUCAAUCAUAAUAUCUUACUUACGAAACUUAGAGCAUAUGGUAUUUCUGGAAGUCUCUUUGCUUGGAUGCAAAGUUACCUGACUAAUCGAAGUUUUUAAGUGUAAAAAUAGGAUGUUUUCUUUCUAAUGCUUUUACAGCUACAUCUGGAGUACCGCAAGGUUCCCACUGUGGCCCCCUUCUAUUUAAUUUGUUCUUGAAUGAUGUUCACUCUAUUUUUAAGGAAGUUAACUUUUUAAUGUUUGCUGAUGAUGUUAAAAUAUAUAAGAAUGUCAAAAAUGAGGAUAACAUUUCUCAGUUUCAGUUACAAGUAAAUGAUUUUUAUGAGUGGUUUGGUAGAAAUGAUAUGGAACUCAAUAUUAAUAAAUGCUUUUUAAUAACUUUUGAGAAUCCAUUAAUGUAUGGAAGGGAUAUGUAGUAUUUGGUUGGAUGGGUGACAUUACUAUUAUUAUUGUUAGGUAUGAUUUGGGUUUGUUUAAGAUUGGCAUUGGAGUUAGAUUGAUUUUUGAUAAUGUGAAUUCUUUUUUUAAUUAGACUGUUGUAAAAUUCUGGUGAAUAAUUAUUUCUUUUUAAAAUUUCUGUAACUUUUCUCAGAUUUUCGGAAUGGUACUGUGGACUAGAUAGUUUAAUUGCUCUGUAUGUAAGACUGAAUAUAACACUUCGUUUGUGACUUACAGGUGCGUUGGUGUUAAAAUUUAAAUAUCUAAUAAUAAAACACUGAAAACGUUUGUUUUCUAUACUUCCACAAAAUUUAUUAUAACUAUGUCACUACAGCUGUUUCGGCAAAGUGCCUUUCUCGAGUGAUUUAGUUUACUAUGGGUUUGCAUUUUAGUCUUUCUGAAGAGAUUGAGUAGUGGGGAGCUGUUUAUCUCCGAGUUGGUCAUUCAGAAUUAUAUCUGUAUUUUUCAAUUGAUUAAUUUCCAUAGAUUAAAUAAAGAAUAGAAUAUAAUAAAUUGAAAAAUACAGAUAUAAUUCUGAAUGAUGAACUCGAGACAAACAGCUCCCCACUCCUCAACAUCUUCAGUUAAAUACUUUAAAAUGCAAACCCAUAGUAAACUAAAUCACUUGAUAAAGACACUCUGUCGAAACUGCUGUAGUCACAUAGUUAUAAUGAAUUUUGUGGAAGUAUAGAAAUCAAAAGUUUUUAGUGUUUUGUUGUUAGAUAAAAUGAACUUCCAUCAAGUAACGGUCGAAUACAUCAAUUAUUUAAAUAUCUUCCGGACCAGGCAUCUUUUGUAAACCAGUUCCCUAACAACACACAACAUUUCAGGAAUGUACUACCAAAGUUCUAUCAAUAUUUGAAUGUCCUGGACAUUUAGGGAACAUUCGGUGAACAUCUGACUAAAUUAUUUCUGGAAUGUUACCAUAAGACAUUCUGUGAACAUACUACCAAUGUUCCUAUAUGUUCAUUUACAAAUUCACGGCGCAUGUAUUUGUGCGUGGUGCUUAGAGAGGGCAUCACGUGACUAAAAACGACCAAUGACCUCACUUCAGACUUCGGUGCUUCGGCCAUCUUGGCAUGCAUCUUGGCCUUGGCCACCGUGUGGCCACCUUGCCGUGCCGCCGUGCGUGAUCGUUGUUUGUUUUUAUUUGUGCUUUUUAAGAAUAUUUUUUUAAUUCGGAUACUUUUAUAAUAACUUUAAUAGUAUUAUUAAUGUAGUGCAUAAAAUCAGUUGGAGUAGCAGAAGCAAUGUAGAUAAAAAAUCUGCAGGAAUAAUGUUUCAAAGGUUAGUAUAUGCAAAUAUGUAAACAAAGGCAUGCCCCUACUUCAGAAAAUAUCCAUUUAUUAUUUUAAUAAUUGCGAAUAAGCCACAAACUUGCUUAUUCCUACCUAAAAUAGUAAAUAGAGAUAAUAACAAACGGAUUAUUUGUAAAAUUAAAAUUUUUUUUGCGUUUUUGCUAAUGUAUGCGUUUAUAAACAGGAUGGUAGACCACACACUAUAAUAGUACCAACUAAUGAAUACACAGUAUGAAUAGUAUAGUCGGUUCGCUAAACUUAGUCUCAGACACAACUGGCUAGUGAUUUUAGUAAAUAAUUUUUACAAUUUCGUAAAAUUGGCAAAAAAAUAAUAACUAAAUAGUUAGUAAUUUUGGCAAAAAUGGCCAAAAACAAAAAAAUUACCUACUAAAAUCACUAGCCAGUUGUGGCUAGGGAAACGACUAUACUAAUAAACAAUUUCUAAGCUGCUUUUUAUAAUAUUUUGUGAGUUCAUUAAUCAUGUUUUUUAUUUAAAACUAAAAUUUGUUGAUAAUGCUCAGUAAUGCAUAUAUUUUGUAUUUUUAGCUCUCCAGAAGAUCCUGCGAAGAAGGCAUGAAGUAUUGAUCAGAUUUGUUAAUAGAGCAGUAUGUUCAAAACAUUUUUUAGAAAAAGAUAUUGACAGAACUUCACUUUCAACUGUUCGUUUGAGAGACUGUGCUGUUCCAAUAGCUUAUAUCACACAGAAUCAGCUGAGAGAAGUGGUUUACAAAAAACCAGGAAGGAAAUGGAAUAUGUGGCUAUGAAAGGCAAAAGAAAGGUUUACAAAGCAAAUGUGACACAUUUUUUUAUAGGAAUAUCAGUAAAUUACAUUAAAAAAAUGUAUGAAAAGAUCUUUUGCAAUAAAAAUGUUUAUAUUUA